AUGCCAAUCUCGUCUCGCUGUUCGUCUGUUCGUCGAGGGAAACUACUCCGCCGGGAAUUGAAGGCAAAAAAUUACUCUUCAGUUUCUCUUCAGGCAUUCAUGUUGGAUGAUGUCCACCUCUCGCUUGCGUUGAUUAAUGGAUGUCUGCCUCUUUGUUUUCCCAUCCUUCAGCUGCCGUGUAUAUAUGCUUUCUCCCUUACCUUUUUCGAUCCGGCGACAAAACAUCCAUCAACGUGGUGCUCUGCUAGUGUUGUUCAUCAUACUGGCUUAUGCUCAAUUGAUUCGGGCCGAUCUUGGAGACUGGAUGUCACAUUUUUUUGUUUCGGGAAUUCUCAGCUCAUAUCUCCAAUGGCUUCUAGAGCGGGUAAUUCUUAG
rnacentral:rRNA from 1 species